rnacentral:tRNA from 1 species
GAGGGUGUAGCUCAAAUGGUAGAGCACAUGCUUAGCAUACACGAGGUCCUGGGUUCAAUCCUCAGUACCUCCC